AAUCGCCCUAGCCGCCGUCGCCACCAGGGAACACUCCCGAGCCGCCGCCAGGAAGCCAUCCGCCGUUGACUGCCAGGGAGCCAGCGUGUGUGCCUGGCUGGAGUCCUCCGUGCACCCGCGCGCCUUGCCUGAGCCGCGGUGGUGCGCGGUCGUGGCCGAAGCACGCCUUCUGCUCCACGCCGGGGAGCAGCACCGCGCGCCUAGGCCGGCGUUGCCCACGUCGAGCACGCGACCCACGCAGGGAGCCGUGCAUCCGCAUGGCCGCCGAGUUCUCGCACCGCCGGCCAGUGCCCGCGUCCGGGUCACCACCGGCCAGUGCCCGCGUCCGGGUCGCCGCAACCUCGCACCGCCGGCCGGUACCCGCACCCUGGGCCGCCGCGGCCUCGCCAGGAGACCGCGCUGUGAGCUGUACUGCGCAGGGAGGCACGCCCGCCAUAGGGCAGAUCCGUGGCCGCUCUAGGGAGCUAGCGUGGCACUCGCUUGGCCCGAGUCGCGGUGCUGCUCGCUCUUGGCCGAGUCCCACCGUUUGCCCGCGCGAUGGCCUCGCCCGCGCCUAGGCCGACCUUGAUGUUCCAGGCGAUCCCACUCCCCCACCCCCUCCCCCCAACCGGCCGUCGUGAUGGCAACCGCCACUGGCCGGACAGAGGGCCAUUAGGCCCUCCCAUUGGGGUAGGAAGAUAGGGCCACCCCGUUUGGGCGGUGGCCAGUGAAGAUGACGCGUCCUCGUGGAGCGUCGACGACGCGAGGGGGCUGUCCACGACGGGAAGCGAUGGUUCCAACAAGCACCGAUGCCGGCGGCAAAGGGGAACGACGUUCAACUGCCCCUGCAGUGGGUGGAGGCGGCGGUGGUGCCGCCAAAUCGACUUUCAUGGGGGCAGAUGCAGACGACCCCGCGUCAACCACCAGCACCGGUGGUGACGGGGAUGCAGUGGGGAGGCCGCACUCCACCACCGGCAGUGGGACGACCGCUGCCCACCCAUGCAGCACGCAGAAGUGCACGUUUUGCACUUGCACGCGGCGUUUAGGGAUCUCGUGCACAGUGCACUGGUGGAAGCGCUGCGGCUUGCCCAGUGGCGAACGCCUCCAACAUCGCAUCAUCAACAGUGUGUAGAACUUCGUGCAUACGACGUAUGCGCAUGGAAAUGUGCUCAGUGGUAAAGGGAGAAAGGACAGAGACAAAUGACAGUAACAGUUGCUUUAUUGUAGAGAGUUUGUGAAUAUAUACAACUGUAAGGGUACUACCCAAGGGGUGUGUCCCUUGGGGUUGAAUUGAUCACAACAAUAUUUUGUAACACUUCUAUCCUUUUCAAGGGCCGUGUCAAAGAUUUUGGGAUUCUGAUAAAAA